rnacentral:lncRNA from 1 species
UUUGUAAAACCCCCCAACCUUAAUAAAGAGAAUAGAAAGAGUACAAAUAGGAGAGUGAACAGUUAAAAUGGUUAGAUGCAAGAGUGUCCGUAGGUCAUUAGGCUCAGUUCUUGCUAAAGUAGAGACUUGUAAAAUCAAAAGGCACAAAGAGUCAGUCAACAUAAUUACUGGAUCCAGUCGGUAAUUCUCAAUUAGGAAACGUGCCUCUCAUGGGAAGGGUGUAUCACAGUCCCUCAAAGCUAUCUCACAUGGGUAUGGUUUGAAAAAAGCACCUUCAAAAAAUUGUAAGUACAGCUCUGUUGUAUAAAAUGAAAGAAAGUGAUUUUAUAAUACAACUCACAGGAAGUAAAACUCAAUAGACUCUUCUUGACGGGUGAGGAAAUCCCAGAGAUACAAUGAUUUCUAUUGUGUCUGGUGAGUGGGCAAUAGUAGGUCCCUUAAAAGGGACCUAGCUGACUUAGGGAUUUAAUGAAAAUAUGUAAAGAGUAAGUUUAUCAAGUGUGGCGUAUAUAUUUAAAAAAAAAAGAAUAGAAACAAAGGAUGAAAAAAACUAAAGAAUGAGAAAUUGCUCUAAAAGUCUAAGCAGCUCCUGACCACCACCUUGACACUACAGUUGUAUCCACUUUUGACCAACUACAGUUAUAGUACACAGCUUUCAACCAAAAGACAUACCAGGUCUGGCAGGACAUAUUUUAGCUCCUGUACUAAAAGUAAUUCAGCUUCAGUUCUAAUUUAUUUAGGUUAUUUUCUUUACAUCAGAGGUCUUUUAAAUUUUGUUAAGACAGUACAAAUAUUUCUUAGUUAUAUAGGAAAGGAAUAGGUGAUGUUUUGAGUGAUAUUCAGUGUGUCUCCCUUAACCCCAUCCUUUGGAAUCUUAAAUAGCUGCGUUAUUUUUGUUUGUGUUUUACAGUUUUUGAGACAGUGUCCUUGAGUUCAGACUCUCUCUUCCAGAGGGCAGUUUCACUCCUCCAUACUUCUUACUUGGACUCUUCAUCUGAGCAUGGUUUUCAGUACAGUCAAGUGACUUUGGUGAAAAAUGACAUUUUCUUAAAUGAGGUGAGGUGCUUGGUACACACUAUGAUGGUUUUGUUUUAGUUUUAAAAGAGGUAAACCCAUCAUUUUUGGUAUAUAAGCCUAGCACUUUUUAGCUAUAAUUUUUCAGACGCAGCAGAUCCUUGGAAAUAGUCACUUGGAAGGUAAUUAUUCUAGGGAAUAGAAAAAUAAUGCAUUUAUGUUUAGUCUUAAUGGCAGGAAGAAUUCAAAUGAUGCAUUUUUAAAAAUUUGCAAGACAAAAUAGUAUGUUUAUAGCGUUUGGUUAUUCUGUUCUCUCUUUAUACAGUACAAAACUUUUUACCAACAAAAAAAAGCAAGUAGUUAUACUCAGGAAGAACUUCAAGACACUUACGGGUUUCUUCUGUUUGAUACUGAAAAGCAGGCAAAAUUGGUAUGUCAGUGUGGACUCCGUGUUGGCAGCAGUGCUGUUACCACUCUGGGUGAUCCAGCCAAAGGUAAGUCCGUAAAG